rnacentral:piRNA from 1 species
UGGCUGUUCUACAUUCCAUUGGAUCCUCUUC